CUACGUGCCAGCAGCCGCGGUAAUACGGAGGGUGCGAGCGUUAAUCGGAAUAACUGGGCGUAAAGGGCACGCAGGCGGCUAUUUAAGUGAGGUGUGAAAUCCCCGGGCUUAACCUGGGAAUUGCAUUUCAGACUGGGUAGCUAGAGUACUUUAGGGAGGGGUGGAAUUCCACGUGUAGCGGUGAAAUGCGUAGAGAUGUGGAGGAAUACCGAAGGCGAAGGCAGCCCCUUGGGAAUGUACUGACGCUCAUGUGCGAAAGCGUGGGGAGCAAACAGGAUUAGAUACCCUGGUAGUCCACGCUGUAAACGCUGUCGAUUUGGGGAUUGGGCCUUGAGCUUGGUGCCCGAAGCUAACGUGAUAAAUCGACCGCCUGGGGAGUACGGCCGCAAGGUUAAAACUCAAAUGAAUUGACGGGGGCCCGCACAAGCGGUGGAGCAUGUGGUUUAAUUCGAUGCAACGCGAAGAACCUUACCAGGUCUUGACAUCCCUCUGACCGCUCUAGAGAUAGAGUUUUCG
rnacentral:rRNA from 1 species